rnacentral:rRNA from 1 species
UCCGUAGGUGAACCUGCGGUUGGAUCAUUAACAAUCUUAGAGAGGCCUUGGCAACAAGGACUACUCCAACACCUUUGUGAACCGUUUAUUUGUCUCUAGCGUGUUUCGCACGCAGAUUUAAACUCUUUGUAUAACUUCCAGCCUUUAAACUAUAAAAAAAGUAAUUAAAACAACUUUUGACAACGGAUCUCUAGGCUCUCACAACGAUGAAGAACGCAGCGAAUUGCGAUAAGUAAUGUGAAUUGCAGAAUUCCGUGAAUCAUUAAAUCUUUGAACGCACAUUGCGCCUUAAGGUAUUCCUCAAGGCAUGCCUGUUUGAGAAUCAGUAAACCUCUCAAAUCUAUCUUGAUGGUGGAUUUGGACUUGGAAAUUCUUGAUAAAGAUUUCUUAAUUGAAUUUGUUGCUUAUUGAUGCUAGCUGGAUAGUAUGAAAGGCAUGACCAAUGAACGCAAGUUCUUUGAUUGCAACUAGUCUAUUCAAGCUUGUGUCUAUGUGGUACAAAUUAAACUUUACGAAGGCGCGUCAAAACGCCUUUAAGACUUGAUCUCAAAUCAGGACAAGGACUACCCGGCUGGAACUUAAGGCAUAUCAAUAAGGCGGGGAGGGGAAGGUCGGACUGGCCAAGGGGGCACACAGGGGGGGGGGAUA